GACGAACGCUGGCGGCGUGCUUAACACAUGCAAGUCGAACGGAAAGGCCCUGCUUUUGUGGGGUGCUCGAGUGGCGAACGUGUGAGUAACACGUGAGUCACCUGCCCUUUACUUUGGGAUAUCUUCAGGAAACUGGGGCUAAUACCGGUUAGGAGCUCCUGCUGCGUAGUGGGGGGUGGAUAGUUUCGGCCGUUGGGGAUGGACUUGCGGCUUAUCAGCUUGUUGGUCGGGUAGUGGCUUACCAAGGCUUUGACGGGUAGCCGGCCUGAGAGGGUGACCGGCCACAUUGGGACUGAGAUACGGCCCAGACUCCGACGGGAGGCAGCAGUGGGGAACAUUGCACAAUGGGCGGAAGCCUGAUGCAGCAACGCCGCGUGCGGGAUGACGGCCUUCGGGUUGUAGACCGCUUUCGCCUGUGACGAAGCGUGAGUGACGGUAAUGGGUAAAGAAGCACCGGCUAACUACGUG
rnacentral:rRNA from 1 species